ensembl:snRNA U6 U6 spliceosomal RNA
UUGUUUGUUUUGGUUCCACAUAUUCUAAAAUUGGAACAAUACAGAGAAGAUUAGCCUGGCCCCUGGACAAGAAUGACACACAGAUUCAUAAAGCGUUAAUUUUGUGU